UAUGUUUCCCUACAAGUAGUUUAAAUAUGGGAUCAGGUGCUGAAAUAAGACUACUUCUUUAUUUUACUUCUGUUCCUGAUCAUCAGCUGGCUGCAGAAACAGCA
ensembl:miRNA gga-mir-6590 gga-mir-6590